rnacentral:rRNA from 1 species
UACGUAGGGGGCAAGCGUUGUCCGGAUUUAUUGGGCGUAAAGAGCGUGUAGGCGGCUUGGUAGGUCCGUUGUGAAAACUCGAGGCUCAACCUCGAGACGCCGAUGGAAACCAUCAGACUAGAGUCCGGAAGAGGAGAGUGGAAUUCCUGGUGUAGCGGUGAAAUGCGCAGAUAUCAGGAAGAACACCCGUGGCGAAGGCGGCUCUCUGGAACGCAACUGACGCUGAGACGCGAAAGCGUGGGGAGCAAACAGG